rnacentral:lncRNA from 1 species
CCCGGGAGAACUAGCUCAUAACCUUAUAUUUCCCAUGCAUACCUCUAUGACAACCCGAAAUUCGGACAGCAUCAUGUCGCAUAUAAAAGGAAAUAAUCACCUGUAUAAGCUCGAGCAAACAUAUAUAUGUAUAUACAAUACUUGGCCGUUGGAGCCAUCACAUCUAUUAACAAAACACCACCUUGAUUGUAUAUUAGGUCUACAAAGCCUCUAGACAAUACACAGAGUUUAACUAAGGUCGGGACACACCCCGCCAUAUAACUAACUUCUAUACAAUACCAAAAGUGACUGGAUAUGACAUGGAAAGCCCCGAAGAAAAUUGGAGCUCACCA